rnacentral:rRNA from 1 species
AUGCAACACUUGCUGAUCCGAUGCCCCUUCUCGCGCUCGAUAUGGCAUGAGCUCCUUGCUUGGUGUCAAACCCCUGUUGAUCUUCCGCUUACCAGCUCCACCUUGGUCGAAUGGUGGGCCGUGGCCACCACUACCGUUCCUUCGGCCAUGAGGAAAGGACUGUCAUCAAUCAUCCUCCUCGCUGCCUGGCACAUUUGGAAGCUGCACAACUCUUGCAUCUUCGGCAACGCUCAACCGUCUUAUUGGGAGCUCCUUCAGUCCAUCAAGGAUGACGCACGGUCUUGGGCCAGGGCGGUGCAAAAGGAUUGGCGGCCAUCAUCCCUUCGUAGUGUGUCCUUGAGUUUUUCGGGCUGA